rnacentral:rRNA from 1 species
AGCAGUAGCCACGGUAAGACAGAGGAUGCAAGCGUUAUCCGGAAUUAUUGGGCGUAAAGGGCUCGCAGGCGGUUUCUUAAGUCUGAUGUGAAAGCCCCCGGCUCAACCGGGAAGGGUCAUUGGAAACUGGGAAACUUGAGUGCAGAAGGGGAGAGUGGAAUUCCACGUGUAGCGGUGAAAUGCGUAGAGAUGUGGAGGAACACCAGUGGCGAAGGCGACUCUCUGGUCUGUAACUGACACUGAGGAGCGAAAGCGCGGGGAGCGAACAGGAUUAGAUACCCCUGUAGUCCCUGUCUCUUAUAC